rnacentral:rRNA from 1 species
GACGAACGCUGGCGGCGUGCUUAGCACAUGCAAGUCGAACGAUGAACCCGGAGCUUGCUCUGGGGGAUUAGUGGCGAACGGGUGAGUAACACGUGAGUAACCUGCCCUGGACUCUGGGAUAAGCGUUGGAAACGACGUCUAAUACCGGAUAGGACCUUGGAUCGCAUGAUCUGGGGUGGAAAGUUUUUUCGGUCUGGGAUGGACUCGCGGCCUAUCAGCUUGUUGGUGAGGUAAUGGCUCACCAAGGCGUCGACGGGUAGCCGGCCUGAGAGGGUGACCGGCCACACUGGGACUGAGACACGGCCCAGACUCCUACGGGAGGCAGCAGUGGGGAAUAUUGCACAAUGGGCGAAAGCCUGAUGCAGCAACGCCGCGUGCGGGAUGACGGCCUUCGGGUUGUAAACCGCUUUUAGUAGGGAAGAAGGGCUUCGGCUUGACGGUACCUGCAGAAAAAGGACCGGCUAACUACGUG